UGGGAGCUUGCUCCCAAAGGUUAGCGGCGGACGGGUGAGUAACACGUGGGCAACCUGCCCUGUAGAUCGGGAUAACAUCGAGAAAUCGGUGCUAAUACCGGAUAAUUUCUGAGAUCUCCUGGUCUUAGAAUAAAAGAUGGCUCCGGCUAUCACUACGGGAUGGGCCCGCGGCGCAUUAGCUAGUUGGUAAGGUAACGGCUUACCAAGGCGACGAUGCGUAGCCGACCUGAGAGGGUGAUCGGCCACACUGGGACUGAGACACGGCCCAGACUCCUACGGGAGGCAGCAGUAGGGAAUCUUCCGCAAUGGACGAAAGUCUGACGGAGCAACGCCGCGUGAGUGAUGAAGGAUUUCGGUUCGUAAAGCUCUGUUGUUAGGGAAGAACAAGUGUCGUUCAAAUAGGGCGGCACCUUGACGGUACCUAACCAGAAAGCCACGGCUAACUACGUGCCAGCAGCCGCGGUAAUACGUAGGUGGCAAGCGUUGUCCGGAAUUAUUGGGCGUAAAGCGCGCGCAGGCGGUCUUUUAAGUCUGAUGUGAAAGCCCCCGGCUCAACCGGGGAGGGUCAUUGGAAACUGGGAGACUUGAGUACAGAAGAGGAGAGUGGAAUUCCACGUGUAGCGGUGAAAUGCGUAGAUAUGUGGAGGAACACCAGUGGCGAAGGCGACUCUCUGGUCUGUAACUGACGCUGAGGCGCGAAAGCGUGGGGAGCAAACAGGAUUAGAUACCCUGGUAGUCCACGCCGUAAACGAUGAGUGCUAGGUGUUAGGGGUUUCGAUGCCCUUAGUGCCGAAGUUAACACAUUAAGCACUCCGCCUGGGGAGUACGACCGCAAGGUUGAAACUCAAAGGAAUUGACGGGGGCCCGCACAAGCAGUGGAGCAUGUGGUUUAAUUCGAAGCAACGCGAAGAACCUUACCAGGUCUUGACAUCCUUUGACAAUCCUAGAGAUAGGACUUUCCCCUUCGGGGGACAAAGUGAC
rnacentral:rRNA from 1 species